rnacentral:rRNA from 1 species
AACGAACGCUGGCGGCAGGCCUAACACAUGCAAGUCGAACGCUCCGCAAGGAGAGUGGCAGACGGGUGAGUAACACGUGGGAAUCUUCCUAUCGGUGGGGAAUAGCUCAGGGAAACUUGGGGUAAUACCGCAUACGCCCGUAAGGGGAAAGAUUUAUCGCCGAUAGAUGAGCCCGCGUCUGAUUAGCUAGUUGGUGGGGUAAUGGCCCACCAAGGCGACGAUCAGUAGCUGGUUUGAGAGAAUGACCAGCCACACUGGGACUGAGACACGGCCCAGACUCCUACGGGAGGCAGCAGUGGGGAAUCUUGGACAAUGGGCGCAAGCCUGAUCCAGCCAUGCCGCGUGAGUGACGAAGGUCUUCGGAUUGUAAGGCUCUUUUAGCAGGGACGAUAAUGACGGUACCUGCAGAAUAAGCAUCGGCAAACCCUGUGCCAGCCGCCGCCGUAA